rnacentral:rRNA from 1 species
AGCAGUCGCCGCGGGAAUACGGAGGGCGCGAGCGUUACCCGGAUUUACUGGGCGUAAAGGGCGUGUAGGCGGCCUGGGGCGUCCCAUGUGAAAGGCCACGGCUCAACCGUGGAGGAGCGUGGGAUACGCUCAGGCUAGAGGGUGGGAGAGGGUGGUGGAAUUCCCGGAGUAGCGGUGAAAUGCGCAGAUACCGGGAGGAACGCCGAUGGCGAAGGCAGCCACCUGGUCCACUUCUGACGCUGAGGCGCGAAAGCGUGGGGAGCAAACUGGAUUAGAUACCCCCGUAGUCCCUGUCUCUUAUAC